CUUGAAGAGUUUCCCACUGAGGUCUAAGAGUCUACAUACCUACAUGUCUAUCAUUCAAAAGCAGGUAUCUCUCUGAAAGUCAAUUUUCUCUAUGUAAAGGACACCAUUGCCUACCUGAAGGGCUUCUGCCCCAAAUCACCAUCCCUAAAGGCUAUUUUCUUCAGUGUUAUGGGACAAACAUCUUCUUUCUGAACUCACGUGAUGUGGAAACCAAGGCAAACUGAGUUAAGUGACUUCUCCAGGGUCACACAGUAAGUGUCUAAGAUCAGAUUUGAACUCAAGUCUUCUUGACUCCAUGCUUAGCUCUCUAUCCACUCUGCUAACUGGCUGCCCUAAAUAUUAUUUAACC
rnacentral:lncRNA from 1 species